CAAAGAUGAUGUGUCUUUGCUCAGAUUUCAUACCGCCAUGGAUGAGUGCUGUCUGUAACAGGGAGAAGAAAACUGUUGCGUCUAAGUAGAGAAAGAAUGCUUAGGGUGAGAGAUGUGCCUCUGGAGAGGUGCAGAGAAAUGCAGCAGCAGACAGGGAGGGAGAGAGAGAACUGCAGCACAAGAUAGGCCCUGCCUUGCACCUGUCAUUACUGUCUGUCUGCUCCCAGCGUGCCUGAAUUAACUGUCAUAGGAUGCUGUCUUGAAUGGAUGGGCAUACCCCGAGGAUUUGAAACCUGUCACCUUUGUGUGGUCUUUGUUCCUUCUGCCAAAUGGCAAGGCU